GGUUCAAAAGCGGAAUGGUCCGCGUCUGCGCAUAUUUAUCGCAUCUUACCACUCCUAAUUAGCAGGAGUUGCCCGUUCGACUCGGGCUUGAACCA